AUUGAACGCUGGCGGCAGGCCUAACACAUGCAAGUCGAGCGGAGCGGCGGACGGGCGAGUAAUGCCUAGGAAGCUGCCUGGUAGUGGGGGAGAACGUCCGGAAACGGGCGCUAAUACCUCAUAUUCUCAGAUGAGUCAAGUGUGGAUUUGCUAGUUGGUGGGGUAAAGGCCUACCAAGGCGACGAUCCGUAACUGGUCUGAGAGGAUGAUCAGUCACACUGGAACUGAGACACGGUCCAGACUCCUACGGGAGGCAGCAGUGGGGAAUAUUGGACAAUGGGCGAAAGCCUGAUCCAGCCAUGCCGCGUGUGUGAAGAAGGUCUUCGGAUUGUAAAGCACUUUCAGUUGGGAGGCGUUACCGACAGAAUAAGCACCGGCUAACUUCGUGCCAGCAGCCGCGGUAAUUC
rnacentral:rRNA from 1 species